GACGAACGCUGGCGGCGUGCUUAACACAUGCAAGUCGAACGAUGAAGCGGGUGCUUGCACUCGUGGAUUAGUGGCGAACGGGCGAGUAACACGUGAGUAACCUGUCCUUUUCUUUGGGAUAACGGCUGGAAACGGCUGCUAAUACUGGAUAUUCAGGCUGCAUCGCAUGGUGUGGUUUGGAAAGGUUUUUUCUGGGAUUGGGUGGGCUCGCGGCCUAUCAGCUUGUUGGUGGGGUGAUGGCUUACCAAGGCUUUGACGGGUAGCCGGCCUGAGAGGGUGGUCGGUCGCACUGGGACUGAGAUACGGCCCAGACUCCUACGGGAGGCAGCAGUGGGGAAUAUUGCACAAUGGACGAAAGUUUGAUGCAGCGACGCCGCGUGGAGGGUGUAGGCCUUCGGGUUGUGAACUCCUUUUUCUCGCGAAAAAGGCACAGUUUUGGCUGUGUUGAUGGUAGUGGGGAAGAAGCGCCGGCUAACUACGU
rnacentral:rRNA from 1 species